UCAAUUUUCUGCCUGGGAAUCUCAGGAUUUCCUCCCUCUGUACCUGGCUUGUGAAUAUAUCUUUAAACAGAAAACCAGGGUCUGUGGCUGUGCUUACCUUUCUUGCUUUCCUUCCCUCAGAAUCACUGUCCUGCCCCAGCUGCACUAAGUCUGAAAUAGACUUGUUUCAAAUACUUUUGUACAUUUUUCUACCUGUUGUAGAGUGAGAAGAAAUACACACUCUUUGGCUAAACCCAAUGUCAGUGAGGAGGGCAGGGAGAAGAGGAGUGUGAAUGAAGGUUUUUGAAAUGGCUAAAUCUAUAAGACCAGAACUUUCUCAACCAAAUGGUCCCAUCAAGGCUCAUCAAGUAUUUUCUCAGAAUGAGGU